UUUACGGAGAGUUUGAUUCUGGCUCAGAACGAACGCUGGCGGCGUGGAUAAGACAUGCAAGUCGAACGAGACCGACCAAAGCUUGCUUUGGGAAGUCUAGUGGCGAACGGGUGAGUAACACGUGAGCAACCUGCCCAGAAGCAGAGGAUAAUCAAUCGAAAGGUUGUUGUAAUACUGUAACAGAUUCCGAGAGGCAUCUCUUGAGGAUCAAAGCGGGGUACUUGUACCUCGCACUUCUGGAUGGGCUCGCGGCCUAUCAGCUAGUUGGUGAGGUAACGGCUUACCAAGGCGACGACGGGUAGCUGGUCUGAGAGGAUGACCAGUCACACUGGAACUGAGACACGGUCCAGACACCUACGGGUGGCAGCAGUCGAGAAUCAUUCACAAUGGGCGAAAGCCUGAUGGUGCGACGCCGCG
rnacentral:rRNA from 1 species